rnacentral:rRNA from 1 species
UACGUAGGGGGCGAGCGUUGUCCGGAGUUACUGGGCGUAAAGCGCACGCAGGCGGUCUGUGAAGUUUGGAGUGACAGUUGGUGGCUCAACCACCAAAGUGCUUUGAAAACUGACAGACUUGAGGGCUUCAGAGGGACACGGAAUUCCGGGUGGAGUGGUGAAAUGCGUAGAGAUCCGGAGGAACACCAAAGGCGAAGGCAGUGUCCUGGGGAGUACCUGACGCUCAGGUGCGAAAGCCAGGGGAGCGAACGGG